CUACGUGCCAGCAGCCGCGGUAAUACGUAUGUCGCAAGCGUUAUCCGGAAUUAUUGGGCAUAAAGGGCAUCUAGGCGGCCAGAUAAGUCUGGGGUGAAAACUUGCGGCUCAACCGCAAGCCUGCCCUGGAAACUAUGUGGCUAGAGUACUGGAGAGGUGGACGGAACUGCACGAGUAGAGGUGAAAUUCGUAGAUAUUUGUAGGAAUGCCGAUGGGGAAGCCAGCUUACUGGACAGAUACUGACGCUGAAGCGCGAAAGCGUGGGUAGCAAACAGGAUUAGAUACCCUGGUAGUCCACGCCGUAAACGAUGAUUACUAGGUGUUGGGGGUCGAACCUCAGCGCCCAAGCAAACGCGAUAAGUAAUCCGCCUGGGGAGUACGUACGCAAGUAUGAAACUCAAAGGAAUUGACGGGGACCCGCACAAGCGGUGGAGCAUGUGGUUUAAUUCGACGCAACGCGAGGAACCUUACCAGCGUUUGACAUC
rnacentral:rRNA from 1 species